GAUGAACGCUGGCGGCGUGCCUAAUACAUGCAAGUCGAGCGAACAGACGAGGAGCUUGCUCCUCUGACGUUAGCGGCGGACGGGUGAGUAACACGUGGAUAACCUACCUAUAAGACUGGGAUAACUUCGGGAAACCGGAGCUAAUACCGGAUAAUAUAUUGAACCGCAUGGUUCAAUAGUGAAAGACGGUUUUGCUGUCACUUAUAGAUGGAUCCGCGCCGCAUUAGCUAGUUGGUAAGGUAACGGCUUACCAAGGCAACGAUGCGUAGCCGACCUGAGAGGGUGAUCGGCCACACUGGAACUGAGACACGGUCCAGACUCCUACGGGAGGCAGCAGUAGGGAAUCUUCCGCAAUGGGCGAAAGCCUGACGGAGCAACGCGGCGUGAGUGAUGAAGGUCUUCGGAUCGUAAAACUCUGUUAUUAGGGAAGAACAAAUGUGUAAGUAACUAUGCACGUAUUGACGGUACCUAAUCAGAAAGCCACGGCUAACUACGUG
rnacentral:rRNA from 1 species